AACUCCUGGAGACAGCUCAGCCUACUCGGCUAAGGGGACAAAAACAGAAAAUAGCCAGAUUACAGCAGUGGCUGGAGACACAAAAGACACUGUGCUCCUGAAUCCCCUGCAGUCACCUUGGAUUCCAGGAACAGCAGAACUUUGCAAGGUGGUACUGUCUACGUGCUACGUUUUAUGACUUGUAUGGUUCUUCCAUCAUGGAGUCAGUCGGGGCUUACUAAGGUCUGGGGCCCUAUGACAAGAUUACUGCUGCCCAUUAGAGCUCAUCUUAACUGCCUUUUCUUCCACUUGGCUGCUGGAGCUGAAUUCUGGACCCCUGGAAGAGCAGCAUGUAUGGUUAGCUGCUGAGUCAUCUCUCCAGCACCAUUUCCUCUUUUAUAACACAUAUUAAUGCUGUUAUUUUAAUAAAGUUUUUGUUAU
ensembl:lincRNA Gm11381 predicted gene 11381